UACGAAGGGGGCUAGCGUUGUUCGGAAUCACUGGGCGUAAAGGGCGCGUAGGCGGCUUUGUAAGUCGGGGGUGAAAGCCUGUGGCUCAACCACAGAAUUGCCUUCGAUACUGCAUGGCUUGAGACCGGAAGAGGUUAGUGGAACUGCGAGUGUAGAGGUGAAAUUCGUAGAUAUUCGCAAGAACACCAGUGGCGAAGGCGGCUGACUGGUCCGGAUCUGACGCUGAGGCGCGAAAGCGUGGGGAGCAAACAGG
rnacentral:rRNA from 1 species